rnacentral:lncRNA from 1 species
GCUGGAGAAGAAGAAGCUACCAAAAAUUUGGCAGGAUAUGUUCGGAACCAUGAAGCUAUGGGUUUGCGCUGGCGCUGUGAUAGAGCUCCUAGGACUGUCUGCUAACUACUACCACGGCGCUGCAGCUAAAGAACCCGACGAAUGACCUGAGGUUCAUGUUGCUCUCUGCGCUAGAAUGACCUGAGGUUCACGUUGCUCUGUGUCCUUGCAGUCGUGCCCUUUGUUUAUUUAUUGCCUGAUUUAGCAGAUCUGCAUUACAUGUCUCAUCGGCCGGCACUCUUGUCAGGAUGCAUCAAUCCUCAUUUUGUAGUAUUAUGUAAGCCCUAUUUUGUGCCUUGAUACCUCUACUUACUAGGUUUGUGGUUCAUGGACAAACCUAUAUUAAUAUAUCUAUAUAAUCAUACUGGGUUGGCC